UCUCCCCCAACUUCAAUAUGAUCUGCAUCAAGGCCAUUUAUCCCUGAUGUUCUUGUUGUUGUUACAGAGAAGGGAUGGCACAGUGUGGUGGAAAGAGUAUGACUUUUGCGGUCAGAUUCCUUCGACUGGAAGCUCAGGCUAGAGAGGAAGACGGACCUGUGGGAUGCUGUUUCAGGAGGUUUCAGAAAGAGCCUACUGUGUUCCUUUCCCAGCUGUGUUGGAACCCUGAGCUUCUUUUGAAAGCUGGCAUAAGCCUUGAGGUCACCCACUGCAUCUGGGUUGCAUUUGCAAAAUGUCUGACACAUUGUAGGUACUUAACAAUGCUCCCAGUUAUUAUUCUGGAAGAAGGCAGAGCAAGGAACUGGAGAGAACAGGCCUGGGUACCUUCAAAGAACAGACAACGCUUUCCUGAGAUACCAGGGCCACUAGGCCAGGUCAAAGACAUGUUAGGCCCCCAACCCCUUCCUCUUUCCAGAACUGCACUUGCCCAUAUGGUAGCACU